AAAGAAACCUUUAAUGGAAGAAUUCCAUGAGGGCAAAAAACCUCUUAGGAAGACAAUUCCCCCCACCCUUGGUCCUGAUUGCUGCGAAGCUUCCUGGCCUCCUCCCAUCCCCCAUGGUGAUUGGACAAGUUCCUGAGAUCAAUGGACAUAAUACGAAGCAUGCUGGACCCAUAGUGGUGAAUCUCUCUUGCUACCUCCAAAGACUCCUUGCUUUUAUUUCCUAUCUUUUUUCUAUUGCCUGUCUUACCUUCCCCAUAUCCCUAAGCAACUAGGAUUUGUGAUAAACUGGCCAGGCUAACAUUUGACCCAUUGUGUCUUAAUCUUGCUGUCGGGUAUACAUAUAUUAAAAGAAUGUCCUCUCCCUCCUACAAAAAAGUUUCCUCUUCCUUUGUACAAAAAAGUUCACUCGAUCCUGUAACGUACAGUCUGGUUUGGAAUAGUGAGCUAUGAGCAAGGGGAGGGCCAGGACUUUCUUUUUAAUAGUGAUGAAUUGAACAAGACUGGUACCAGAGCCAGAUAAGUCAUGCCCCACAUAACUCUUAAUUCACCAGGAAAUGUAUAUUUUGUAGUAUAGUUUUCUAUGACAGACUCAAAAAUCUGAGGAUUUGAAUUAUAUAAGCUGGAAGUGUGCAAUAAAACACUGCAACUUGAAUAAAAUAUCUUCACAUACUGUAGAACAAACUUGGGAGUAGAAGCUAAGGCGCCACAUCCUUCUCCCUGUGUGCAAAACAAGCCUAUUUCUACUGAGGCAUUUUCAUCUCACAGGCCCAGCAUUAGAAAUAUAAGACUUUGUACUGAUAACAGCCUUCUCCUUUUUAUUACUGUUCAAGGGCAUCACAAAGGCAGAAAAAAAUAAAUGUAUUGGAAAGAAAAAUAGCUUUGGUUUCAUCAGGCAACAAUGUACAAUUAUCGGUUGUGUCACAAGUAUAUCCAUUAUUCUUUUACUUGACUUCCGGAACAACUCCUUUGGGGCAACUAAAAUCAGGACACCAAAACUUACAUCUGAACCCAACACCUUUAGGGUCAGUAGAUGGUUCGUCUCCAUGCAUGGCACCUGGAUGAAACCGUCCCCAGAAGCAUUCCUCAUGCGUAAGUUAAUUUAUCCCCUAAUACAAUGCGACUUUUUACCAGACACAGCAAGAAAAUAAUAGACAGAUUACAAAUCCAGCACAUGAAAACAUUAGGAAAGGCACUAGGGAGCUUACUUCUAAAUUUAUGUUCGAGUUCACUAAAUUACAUAAAGACUGCCACAUCCCAGCAAAGUUUCUCAGUACAACUGGUUUUCAGGCACAAUUCUGUCAUGUCUCAAAGAGAAGCAAAUGCAUUUUCUGGGCAUUUUACCAUCUUGAGGCAAGAAGGUAAAAAAAUCUGUCUGCCAUAUAUAUUAGUACUUUCUUUUUACAUUUUGAUGCCAUUAGCAUGUUUCAUAUGACCUCAUCCUUUAUCCAAGGGGUCAGCACAUAACUGCAAUUAUAUUUUAUGACUUCCUUAGAUAUACAGUGUGACUUUCUUAUUGAUUCUUUUGGCAAAAUUAACACACAUACAGACAGGAUUUAAGAACACUGUGGUUGGGUACAUAGCCAUGGAUGGAAAGGAAGGAAGUCAGAAGAUAUUUCUAACAUAUAUUAAGUUGUUGUAAGUGCAGUACUCCAACUGUAGUCAUGCUUGACUUGGAGCAGAGCAGAUUAGAAGACAUACCCCUGGAUGUUGGUCAGUGCAAUUAAUACCUUCAAACAAAGGAUCAUGUAGUAUUAGUUUCCAGGAUAAGUUUUUCUAGGCAUCUAUAAGGAGGCUUAAGGUUUACAUUUAAGUUGAAUAACUGAGCAUAUUUGAAGUUUACCUACAUAAAUCAAACACCAUGCAAAUUGACGCGGGCUGGAAACCUGGAGGAGUAACUUUUAUUCCUCUCUCCAGAAUUUAUACCAUAUUUAUCUAUUUAUCUAUACCCAAUUACAGUAUAUCUUCCUUUCGGUUUUUUCAGGAUAACAAAUUAUGUUUUCAAGUAAAGUGUGUAAGUAGAAGAAGGUACAAAAAAUAUGCUAAAAACAGAUUUGUAAUCCAGAUUUUGUCUGUAUAUAAUCUAAAAGAGUAUUUAUUCAUAAAAUUGGAACUAUUGAGUACCAAAGAUGCAUUCUCACGCAUAAUCAGAAUUUAAAAAAAAGACAUCUAUUUUUCUGUCCCUAUGUUAAUCUGGCUAGUACUACAAGCAAAUCUGAGAAAAAACUGGAUUAUCCUUUGAUCUGUUUCUUCCACCUAAUUUAGCUGCAUCACCAUGCUUACCAGCAGUCUAAACUUGGAGGUGUUAUUAUUUUAUGCUCUACUGGUGUUGCCUGAUCCAAGAAUAACACUUGACCCAAGUUUUUGUAGGAUCCAUUGGUAGAAUUAAUGGGAAAAAUCCCAAAUAAUAUUGCACGUGAAGCCACUGACACAGCACUUCACUGUCAGAUUUUGACUUCAUUCAGGUGUCCAGUUUUGCAGAAUCCUCAGCAUAUCAGAGCCAUUCUUGCUGAGGGUGUUGACCUUUAGUUCAUUUACUAGAAUCUUCCUAAGCUAGAAAUAUGAGCUCAACCAUAAACAGUGCUUUGUUCUCAAUAUAGGAAAAAACCUAUAGACAUUCAACAAUGCAUUAUAAUGAAUCACAUUUAUUUCACUGUAAUUUGGUCAUAUAAGCAAGUAAUUUAUUUUUUACACAUAGAAAACAGUAACUAUAUAUGCACUUCAAAUUUCCCAGGUGUUUCCAAUUUCAAAAUGCUAAAGAAACAUGCAUCUAAAUAAAGAUUUUUCUUUGUAAU
ensembl:lncRNA